GCAGCCGCGGUAAUACGUAGGGUGCAAGCGUUAAUCGGAAUUACUGGGCGUAAAGCGUGCGCAGGCGGUUCGGAAAGAAAGGUGCGAAAUCCCAGGGCUUAACCUUGGAACUGCACUUUUAACUACCGAGCUAGAGUAUGUCAGAGGGGGGUGGAAUUCCGCGUGUAGCAGUGAAACGCGUAGAUAUGCGGAGGAACACCGAUGGCGAAGGCAGCCCCCUGGGAUAAUACUGACGCUCAUGCACGAAAGCGUGGGGAGCAAACAGGAUUAGAUACCCUGGUAGUCCACGCCCUAAACGAUGUCAACUAGCUGUUGGGGCCUUCGGGCCUUAGUAGCGCAGCUAACGCGUGAAGUUGACCGCCUGGGGAGUACGGCCGCAAGAUUAAAACUUCAAAGGAAUUGACGGGGACCCCGCACAAGCGGUGGAUGAUGUGGAUUUAAUUUCGAUGCAACGCGAAAAAACCUUUACCUACCCUUGACAUGUCCGGAAUCCUGAAGAGAUUUGGGAGUGCUCGCAAGAAGAACCGGAACACCAGGUGCUGCAUGGCUUGUCGUCAGCUCGUGUCGUGAGAUGUUGGGUUAAGUCCCGCAACGAGCGCAACCCUUAUCCAAUGUUGCCAGCAAGUUAUGUUGGGACUCAUUGGAGACUGCCGGGUUAACUCGAGAAGGUGGGAUGACUCAAGUCCUCAUGCCCCUUAUGUCUAGGGCUGCAACACGCUACAUGGCCGAU
rnacentral:rRNA from 1 species